UCACUGCACUCUAGCCUAGGAAACAGAGUGAGACUCUGCCUCAAACAAAAAAUCAAAACAAGUUCACAUUAUUUAGGAGUGAUGCUAGCGAGUCUGUGCUGCUCCUGACAGAAAGCAGAUGACACCCUCAAGGCAAACCGUUCCGGAGAGAAAACUGCACACAUGCGAGCCCUGGGAAUCAGGCACACAUGGAUCGUAUCCCAGCCCUGCCCUUGCUGGUUACGUCUGGAUCUUCAUCUCCUCAUCUAUAUGUCAGGGAUGCCACAACUGGCAUUGUGCUCAAAACUGAAAGAGGCAAUGUCUGAAAAGCACAUGGCCCCGUGCAGACCCAGCGUGGUUCCUCUCCAGUGUCUCCUCUUGGAACUGUACCUGAUUUUAUCAUCAGUUUUCAUCUGAAUACAAUGGGGAAUGAGACGAUUUUGCUUUUGUUUCUUGGCCUGAAAUCACUUGACCCUGAAAGACUUAUGAAGACAGGGUGAGAAAUGGAGUCAACUGUACACAUCAUGAUGAUGGAGGAAGGAAGAGCGAGGGGGCUGCUUUUUCCAUUAUUUACCCUUUUGAGGAAUUUAACAUCUCACUGCAUCUUAUAAACAGUUACAACAAUUAUUUAAUGUUU